UCGCCUGUUUAUCAAAAACAUAACCUUUAGCCACCAAACCAGUAUUAAAGGCAACGCCUGCCCAGUGAACAAUUAAACGGCCGCGGUACCCUAACCGUGCAAAGGUAGCGUAAUCACCUGUCUAUUAAUUGUAGACCCGUAUGAAUGGCAAAAUGAGGGUUUAACUGUCUCUUAUGAUAAAUCAAUUAAACUGAUCUUCCAGUCCAAAAGCCGGAAUACCCCCAUAAGACCAGAAGACCCUGUGAAGCUUUAACUAAACUAUUAAACCACAUAAUAGCUACUUUAGGUUGGGGCGACCUUGGAAAAAAAGAAAACUUCCAAACUAAUAAACCUACACUCCACUACAUAGGCCGACAAGCCCACAAUAGACCCAGUAUAACUGACUAAUGAACCAAGUUACUCCAGGGAUAACAGCGCCAUCUUCUUCAAGAGCCCAUAUCAAAAAGAAGGUUUACGACCUCGAUGUUGGAUCAGGACAUCCUAAUGGUGCAGCCGCUAUUAAGGGUUCGUUUGUUCAACGAUUAACAGUCCUACGUGAUCUGAGUUCAGACCGGA
rnacentral:rRNA from 1 species